rnacentral:rRNA from 1 species
UACGGAGGAUGCAAGCGUUAUCCGGAAUGAUUGGGCGUAAAGCGUCCGCAGGUGGCUAUGUAAGUCUGCUGUUAAAGAGUGAGGCUCAACCUCAUAAGAGCAGUGGAAACUACAUAGCUAGAGUGCGUUCGGGGCAGAGGGAAUUCCUGGUGUAGCGGUGAAAUGCGUAGAUAUCAGGAGGAACACCGGUGGCGAAGGCGAGUCCCUGGACAAUUCCUGACACUGAGGCACGAAAGCUAGGGGAGCAAACAGG